CUAUAGCUUGACACUGAACAUUGAGCCUUGAUGUGUAGGAUAGGUGGGAGGCUUUGAAGUGUGGACGCCAGUCUGCAUGGAGCCGACCUUGAAAUACCACCCUUUAAUGUUUGAUGUUCUAACGUGGGCCCCUAAUCGGGGUUGCGGACAGUGUCUGGUGGGUAGUUUGACUGGGGCGGUCUCCUCCUAAAGAGUAACGGAGGAGCACGAAGGUUGGCUAAUCCUGGUCGGACAUCAGGAGGUUAGUGCAAUGGCAUAAGCCAGCUUGACUGCGAGCGUGACGGCGCGAGCAGGUGCGAAAGCAGGUCAUAGUGAUCCGGUGGUUCUGAAUGGAAGGGCCAUCGCUCAACGGAUAAAAGGUACUCCGGGGAUAACAGGCUGAUACCGCCCAAGAGUUCAUAUCGACGGCGGUGUUUGGCACCUCGAUGUCGGCUCAUCACAUCCUGGGGCUGAAGUAGGUCCCAAGGGUAUGGCUGUUCGCCAUUUAAAGUGGUACGCGAGCUGGGUUUAGAACGUCGUGAGACAGUUCGGUCCCUAUCUGCCGUGGGCGCUGGAGAACUGAGGGGGGCUGCUCCUAGUACGAGAGGACCGGAGUGGACGCAUCACUGGUGUUCGGGUUGUCAUGCCAAUGGCACUGCCCGGUAGCUAAAUGCGGAAGAGAUAAGUGCUGAAAGCAUCUAAGCACGAAACUUGCCCCGAGAUGAGUUCUCCCUGAGACUUAGAGUCUCCUGAAGGAACGUUGAAGACGACGACGUUGAUAGGCCGGGUGUGUAAGCGCAGCGAUGCGUUGAGCUAACCGGUACUAAUGAACCGUGAGGCUUAACCUU
rnacentral:rRNA from 1 species